rnacentral:rRNA from 1 species
ACUCAAAUGAAUUGACGGGGACUUGCACAAGCGGUGGAUCAUGUGGUUUAAUUCGACGAUAAACGAAGAACCUUACCAGGGUUAGAAAUCAAGACGAAGAUAGCCAGAAACGGUUAUCGCCUUCGGGCGGCUUGACAGGUGAUGCAUGGUCGUCGUCAGUUCGUGGUUUGAAUUGUUCCCUUAAGUGGGGUAACGAACGAAACCCUCGUUGUGUGUUAUAUAUGUCACACGAGACUGCCCCCUUUCUGCGCACAAGCAAUUGUGUUUGCGAACAGAGAGGGGGGAGGAAGGAGAGGAUGACGCCAGAUCAGCAUGUCCCUUGAUACCCUGGGCUACACACGUGAUACAAUGGUCACUACAAAGGGCUGCAAUACCGUAAGGUGGAGCCAAUCCCUAAAAGUGGCCUCAGUUCAGAUUGAGGUCUGAAACUCGACCUCAUGAAGCUGGAAUCGCUAGUAAUCGCAGGUCAGCUAUACUGCGGUGAAUACGUUCUCAAGUCUUGUACACACCGCCCGU